AGAGUUUGAUCAUGGCUCAGGAUGAACGCUAGCGGCAGGCUUAACACAUGCAAGUCGAGGGGUAGAAGUUGCUUGCAACUUUGAGACCGGCGCACGGGUGCGUAACGCGUAUGCAAUCUACCUUAUACAGAGGGAUAGCCCAGAGAAAUUUGGAUUAAUACCUCAUAGUGUUAUUGAAUGGCAUCAUUUAUUAACUAAAGUUCCAACGGUAUAAGAUGAGCAUGCGUCCUAUUAGCUAGAUGGUAAGGUAACGGCUUACCAUGGCUACGAUAGGUAGGGGUCCUGAGAGGGAGAUCCCCCACACUGGUACUGAGACACGGACCAGACUCCUACGGGAGGCAGCAGUGAGGAAUAUUGGACAAUGGGCGCAAGCCUGAUCCAGCCAUGCCGCGUGCAGGAAGAAGCAUCUAUGGUGUGUAAACUGCUUUUGUACGGGAAGAAACACUCCUACGUGUAGGAGCUUGACGGUACCGUAAGAAUAAGGAUCGGCUAACUCCGUGCCAGCAGCCGCGGUAAUACGGAGGAUCCAAGCGUUAUCCGGAAUCAUUGGGUUUAAAGGGUCCGUAGGCGGUUUAAUAAGUCAGUGGUGAAAUCUGGUCGCUCAACGAUCAAACGGCCAUUGAUACUGUUAGACUUGAAUUACUGGGAAGUAACUAGAAUAUGUAGUGUAGCGGUGAAAUGCUUAGAUAUUACAUGGAAU
rnacentral:rRNA from 1 species